UGGGGAAACCUCUGUGAAGAUGUUCCCUGUUGAACCUGAGUGUCAGAUGCAGGUAAAACAGUGCUCCAUGACCUUAGUCCAAACAUCAGGGUGCUGGGAUUGUCCCCAGGAUGCUUGGCUGAACUCUACCACACAAAUACGAGAGACACAACUCUGUGCAAAGAGCAACCAGCUACAGAGCCACGUCCAGCAGCUUCCUCCAGCAAUAAAUGCAAAAGAAACCCACUGGUUUUGACUUGCCCAUAGUUAAGAUGGUAUGAGGGCUGAAGCGUAACUACCCAGUGAUCCCAGAGCAUUCUUCUGAAAUCUGUGGCAUACCCAGCUCUUUCAUAUUUGGCAAUACAGUGGGCCAACUAUUCUCCCAGAGGGACCGUAUUGAAAUUUUUCCUCCACAAGGUCCCACUGAUUCAUGGGUUGUUACAUCAGAAUUUAGAUUUGCUGCUCAAAUAUGAAGAGGUCAAGUGAAAGCAGCCCGAGGCACCUUUACAUGAGAUUUGGGCGGAUACAGUUCAGGCACAGUACUGCAGAUCACGAGGCCCUGCCUGGGACCAUGAGGGCACAGAGAAGCCUGUGGUUGGCACACAUUGGACUGGGCAGCAGGGUUUUAGGAUGGCAGCUGGAGUUCUGGUGUGGUGGUGUAAAUUAUGUCAGGUUUUAUUUCUGGUUUUCUAACAGUGCAAUUCGCCUUCAGUUCAAAUCUGUAUGGAUCAGCCAAUACAGUAGUAAAUAAAUUUGUGACCAGUUA